AGAGUUUGAUCAUGGCUCAGAAUCAACGCUGGCGGNNNGCCUAACACAUGCAAGUCGAACGAGAAAGCGGGGCAACCUCGUGAGUAAAGUGGCGUACGGGUGAGUAACACGUGGAUUAUCUACCCUCUUGUGGGGGAUAACUCUGGGAAACCGGAGCUAAUACCGCAUAAGCUCGAGAGAGGAAAGCAGCAAUGCGCAGGAGGAGGAGUCCGCGGCCGAUUAGCUAGUUGGUAGGGUAAAAGCCUACCAAGGCUGAGAUCGGUAGCCGGCCUGAGAGGGCACACGGCCACACUGGCACCGAAACACGGGCCAGACUCCUACGGGAGGCAGCAGUGGGGAAUCUUGCACAAUGGGGGAAACCCUGAUGCAGCGACGCCGCGUGAGCGAUGAAGCCCUUCGGGGUGUAAAGCUCUUUCGGCAGGGAAGAUUACGACGGUACCUGCAGAAGCAGCUGCGGCUAACUACGUGCCAGCAGCCGCGGUAAUACGUAGGCAGCAAGCGUUGUUCGGAGUUACUGGGCGUAAAGGGUGUGUAGGCGGUCCUCUAAGUUUGGUGUGAAAUCUCCCGGCUCAACUGGGAGGGUGCGCCGAAAACUGGAGGGCUAGAGUACUGGAUGGGAGAGUGGAAUUCCUGGUGUAGCGGUGAAAUGCGUAGAUAUCAGGAGGAACACCUGUGGUGUAGACGGCUCUCUGGACAGUAACUGACGCUGAGACACGAAAGCGUGGGUAGCAAACAGGAUUAGAUACCCUAGUAGUCC
rnacentral:rRNA from 1 species